rnacentral:rRNA from 1 species
UGCAUAUCAAUAAGCGGAGGAAAAGAAACCAACAGGGAUUGCCUCAGUAACGGCGAGUGAAGCGGCAAAAGCUCAAAUUUGAAAUCUGGUACCUUUGGUGCCCGAGUUGUAAUUUGAAGAUAGUUUUCUGGUAUUGGGCCCUUGUCUAUGUUCCUUGGAACAGGACGUCAUAGAGGGUGAGAAUCCCGUCUGGCGGGGCGCCCUUUGCUAUGUAGAUUUCUAUCGACGAGUCGAGUUGUUUGGGAAUGCAGCUCUAAGUGGGUGGUAAAUUCCAUCUAAAGCUAAAUAUUGGCGAGAGACCGAUAGCGAACAAGUACAGUGAUGGAAAGAUGAAAAGAACUUUGAAAAGAGAGUGAAAAAGUACGUGAAAUUGUUGAAAGGGAAGGAUAUUGGAUCAGACUUGGUGUUGCAUGAUUAUCUUCCCCUCGUGGGUUGUGCACUCGUGCUUCACUGGGCCAGCAUCGGUUCGGACGGCAAGAUAAUGACAUUGGAACGUGGCUCUUUCUUCGGUUAGAGUGUUAUAGCCCUUGUUGAUGUUGCCUGUCUGGACCGAGGACUGCGGCUUCUGCCUAGGAUGCUGGCGUAAUGAUUCAAUAUCGCCCGUCUUGAAACAC